AAGUGAUGUACAGAUAUUAUAUAUUACAAAAAAUAAGGUAUUCAGAGAUCUGGAUGGUUGUACAUAUACAAAUAUUUAUUAACAUGCCACAUGUUUUUACAAAUCACAUAUAAGCGCUUUCAUCGACUGUAAUAGAUUCUUCAGAUUUAAAUUUUGUGAAGGGAUUUGUCUCUUUUUAUAGUAUUUGUGAAUGGCUUGGGUGGAGAGAGAGGGGGAAGA